rnacentral:rRNA from 1 species
UCCACGCCCUAAACGAUGUCUACUAGUUGUCGGGUCUUAAUUGACUUGGUAACGCAGCUAACGCGUGAAGUAGACCGCCUGGGGAGUACGGUCGCAAGAUUAAAACUCAAAGGAAUUGACGGGGACCCGCACAAGCGGUGGAUGAUGUGGAUUAAUUCGAUGCAACGCGAAAAACCUUACCUACCCUUGACAUGGAAGGAAUCCCCGAGAGAUUGGGGAGUGCCCGAAAGGGAA